UACGUAGGUCCCGAGCGUUGUCCGGAUUUAUUGGGCGUAAAGCGAGCGCAGGUGGUUUAUUAAGUCUGGUGUAAAAGGCAGUGGCUCAACCAUUGUAUGCAUUGUAAACUGGUAGACUUGAGUGCAGGAGAGGAGAGUGGAAUUCCAUGUGUAGCGGUGAAAUGCGUAGAUAUAUGGAGGAACACCGGUGGCGAAAGCGGCUCUCUGGCCUGUAACUGACACUGAGGCUCGAAAGCGUGGGGAGCAAACAGG
rnacentral:rRNA from 1 species